rnacentral:rRNA from 1 species
AUGUCUAGAUUUCAGCUAUCACGCAUGUCACCGGCCAUAACAUCCCAAUUGAGCUCAUCAACCAGUUGCGCAGCGCCAGCACUGCCAAGAACAAGGUGUAUGCCAUUCAUCACAUCUCCUGUUGUUGAACUGUUUAUUAUGCAAAUUAUGGGCAUGUUUUCUUGUGGGGUUCUUUUGCCUCAAUGGUAUUAUUCUUCUGGAAGCUAUGUUGCACUCUGA